rnacentral:miRNA from 1 species
AAAUUUCCCUUAAUUGUUUGGC